ACCUGGUUGGCUCAGUUGGUAGAGCAUGUGACUACUGAUCUCAAGGUCAUGAGUUUGAGUCCCACAGUGGGUG